CACAGGGGCGCCUUCGGGCUGAGACGGCAUCGCGCCGGACCCUUUAACCUGAUACGGGUAAUGCCGGCGUAGGGAGCUUGAU
rnacentral:ncRNA from 1 species